rnacentral:sRNA from 1 species
UUUAAAAUAUGCAGUUUUUCCUGAUGCCACACACACAUUCCAGGUGGGCCCUGAGGUGUGCACAGCAGGGCUGAGGGCUGACUCAAAGCCUGUCCUGUCCCCACUCCCCACAAGGAGGUGAAGCUGUCUCUGAUGGCAGUGCCGCUGUCACUGCCUCGGACGCUGGAGCAGAGUAGCUCAUGGCAGGCUGCAGAGGAGGGGACUCCACAAGGACACCAGGAGGCACAGGGUGCACCCUGCAGGGCUUGGGGCAUGGUCCAAUGACCCUUUCACGGGGCCUGCCAGCUGCACCAGAGCACACCUGCCCCCAUACCAGACUCGUGCCUGGGGUCCUGCAGGGCCACUGCCUCUGACCAGCCCACUGUUGGUGGGAUCUGCUGUCCUUGCAGUGGGAGCUUGGUGCCUCCCAGGGCUGGUGUGGGAAGAGAGGGGGAUUGGAUUCCUUCCUCCUUCCCCAUCCUCAGACAUGGGCCCAGGCAAGGGGUGCCUGUCGGGCCUGGGAGCCUUCUCCACACUUGCACACAGGAACCUGAGGCCAGUUCUUUGCUUGCAGCUGCUGGGACAGCAGGCUGGGGGGCAGGACUUGCCUAAGGGGCCUCCUGCCCUGUAGAGGCAGCCGUGCUCCUGUGUCAUGUGUGGGAAGCUACAGGACCCAAGCCAGGCCUUUUCCUCCCUCCACACCCCAACCACUUCUGCCUUCACCCAGGGCACCCCCCAGGCUGACCCACCCCUGAGUUGUGCUCCACCCUGGGUCUGCCAUCCUGCCCAGGAGAGCCUGAGGGUGCCCUCCUGGCUCCCAGUGCUGUCCCAGCCCCUCUCCCUCACACUGGCCUUUCCCCACAGGUGAGCACCUGCGGAUCUGUCCCCAGGGCUACACCUGCUGCACCAGCGAGAUGGAGGAGAACCUGGCCAACCGCAGCCGUGCCGAGCUGGAGACCGCGCUCCAGGACAGCAGCCGCGUCCUGCAGGCCAUGCUUGCCACCCAGCUGCGCAGCUUCGAUGACCACUUCCAGCACCUGCUGAACGACUCGGAGCGGACGCUGCAGGCCACCUUCCCCGGCGCCUUCGGAGAGCUGUACACGCAGAACGCGAGGGCCUUCCGGGACCUGUACUCAGAGCUGCGCCUGUACUACCGCGGUGCCAACCUGCACCUGGAGGAGACGCUGGCCGAGUUCUGGGCCCGCCUGCUCGAGCGCCUCUUCAAGCAGCUGCACCCCCAGCUGCUGCUGCCUGAUGACUACCUGGACUGCCUGGGCAAGCAGGCCGAGGCGCUGCGGCCCUUCGGGGAGGCCCCGAGAGAGCUGCGCCUGCGGGCCACCCGUGCCUUCGUGGCUGCUCGCUCCUUUGUGCAGGGCCUGGGCGUGGCCAGUGACGUGGUCCGGAAGGUGGCUCAGGUCCCCUUGGGCCCGGAGUGCUCAAGAGCUGUCAUGAAGCUGGUCUACUGUGCUCACUGCCUGGGAGUCCCCGGCGCCAGGCCCUGCCCUGACUAUUGCCGAAAUGUGCUCAAGGGCUGCCUCGCCAACCAGGCCGACCUGGACGCCGAGUGGAGGAACCUCCUGGGUGAGCCCCCACCCGCGAGAGUGGCCGGGAACUGUCUUGGGGAGUGCACGGCUGGGGGUCCUGGGGGGCGGGUGGUCCCUAGCUCAGAGCUUGGACCCAGGGACCUGAUCAGGGAUGCCCUGACCCGGGCCAGAUCUGGGUGGUGCUGCAGGGUUGAGGGGCCAGGGUGCCUUUUGAAUGUCCUGAGUGAUGUGUGACUUGGGGCAGCUGCCAGGGAGGGAGCCCUGUGGGGUCGUAGUUUCUUGUCCUUCCCCACUUAGCAAGCACCUCGGUGUGCAUACAUGCCAACACGUGUGACUCAUCGAGGACCGGCACUUGUUUAAGCUAACACAUACAUGCACCGUCACAUGACAGGCUGACACAUGCGAACUGGCGUGCUCACUUGCUGACACACAGUGGGCCAGUGCCCACCAGUACAGCGUGUGCUCCUGGGCGCAUGUGAUGACAUGAGCUGGGCUGACCCGCAUCAAUGCCAACAUGUGUGUGGUAAUAUGUACAUGCUUAUCCAGAUCCACUAACAUGUACACAUGCUUACAUGAGGGGGGACAGCAUGCAUCUGUGCCAACACGUGCUAGCAUGUGCUGACACGGGGCCAACAGGUGUGUGCUAAUGUGAUGGGAGCUGACAGAAUGCAUGAGCUUUACUUGUACAUGUGCUCACCGUGCACGCAACACACACAUGAACUAAGGUGUACAUGGGGGGGCAUGAGGUGAGCCAGCAUGCAUACACACCAGCUCACACGGGCUCAUGUGCACACAAGCUGGACCAAGGUGAGCCAGCGUAUGUACAUGUUAACACCUGCAUGAGCCAGCGUGGAUAUACGAGACACGACAGGCCAGCAAGCAUGCAGAAUGGCCUCUAUGUAUGUGCGUGUUCACCUGUGCCCGUGGCACAGGUGCACACGUGGGUGUGGGCCAGGCUGAGUGCACGUGGCCUGCACGUGUCACACGGGCCAACCUGAGUGCACACGCGGGAUCUCCCACGCUGACCCGUGCUGUCAAGACUGCAUUAACAUGCACACGUGGUGAUGCCUGCGGGUGCGUGUCAAUGCCUGUGUGCGUGUUAACGCCUGUGUGUCCGUGUGUUAACGCCUGUCCUAGACUCCAUGGUGCUCAUCACCGACAAGUUCUGGGGUACAUCGGGUGUGGAGAGCGUCAUCGGCAGCGUGCACACGUGGCUGGCGGAGGCCAUCAACGCCCUCCAGGACAACAGGGACACGCUCACGGCCAAGGUCAUCCAGGGCUGCGGGAACCCCAAGGUCAACCCCCAGGGCCCCGGGCCUGAGGAGAAGCGGCGCCGGGGCAAGCUGGCCCCGCGGGAGAGGCCACCUUCAGGCACGCUGGAGAAGCUGGUCUCCGAAGCCAAGGCCCAGCUCCGCGACGUCCAGGACUUCUGGAUCAGCCUCCCAGGGACACUGUGCAGUGAGAAGAUGGCCCUGAGCACUGCCAGUGAUGACCGCUGCUGGAACGGGAUGGCCAGAGGCCGGUACCUCCCCGAGGUCAUGGGUGACGGCCUGGCCAACCAGAUCAACAACCCCGAGGUGGAGGUGGACAUCACCAAGCCGGACAUGACCAUCCGGCAGCAGAUCAUGCAGCUGAAGAUCAUGACCAACCGGCUGCGCAGCGCCUACAACGGCAACGACGUGGACUUCCAGGACGCCAGUGACGACGGCAGCGGCUCGGGCAGCGGUGAUGGCUGUCUGGAUGACCUCUGCGGCCGGAAGGUCAGCAGGAAGAGCUCCAGCUCCCGGACGCCCUUGACCCAUGCCCUCCCAGGCCUGUCAGAGCAGGAAGGGCAGAAGACCUCGGCUGCCAGCUGCCCCCAGCCCCCGACCUUCCUCCUGCCCCUCCUCCUCUUCCUGGCCCUUACAGUAGCCAGGCCCCGGUGGCGGUAACUGCCCCAAGGCCCCAGGGACAGAGGCCAAGGACUGACUUUGCCAAAAAUACAACACAGACGAUAUUU